ACGAGGCCUCCGGAUCCCUUCGCCGCCAGCCCCCACCUCCUCCUCUGCUCCCGGCGCCGCUCGCCCCCCCAUCUCCUCCCCCGAUCCCGGCGUCAUCCCGCCCCCACCUUCUCCCUCACUCCCGGCGCCGCCCCGCCCCCACCUUCUCCCUCACUCCCGGCGCCACCCGACCUCCAACCUCCCUGGAUCCCGGCUCCCGGUGCCCCCCGCCCCCCAUCUCCUCCCCUGAUCCAACUAAACAUCCCGUAAACUGAAAAAGAGGGUGAUUGGUUAAGAUGCUGAAGCAGCUAACAAGGAGGGGCAGACGCGUGAACGAGAUGGGAAGAAAACUCACUUUGCCCCUCCUCCAAGCACAUCAGCGACUCUUCGAUCUGCUUCUCACCCUCGCAAGAUAUGAGAUUCUUAUAUACCAUUGUUGCAUCCUGUUGCACACAUGCAAUUCUAUUGUUUUGUGUAAGAGCCAUUGACUUUUGUGGAGAAGUUCGCGUCACGAGGGAACUCUGCUAUCAAGGUCGCCAUGUCAGCGAGCUCGUUGGCGUCGUACUGCCCCAACAGGAGUGCCAUCGGGUCGGCGGCGCUGCUGGCGGCUGCAACCAUGGAUGAUGGAAAUUGUGAGUCCUGCAAAAUCUGUACGUGGGUUAGGAUAAUAGGUUGAGCCAUCUGUUCCUCUACAGUCAAACGCUUGAUUGGGAUGUUCUAUCCAUGAAGGGAUCAGAUUCAUGAAACUCGACCUGUUGAAGAAGUUUCAGUCCAGCUUCACUCACCGCCUUUCAUUGUCAUCGAGACAACCGGCAUUGCUCAGAACGCCACAUCCCCGGCCUACUCUCUCUUCACCCGUCAAUGCUCAUGUGCUUUGACCCUCCCCGACCCCUCCCAGCAAGCAGUAGAGUCUCUCUUGUUUGAGCUCCACCGGGCCGGCGGCGGCGACGUCCAUGUUCGUUGGGCGGAGCACAACGCUGGGGUUGAAGUCCACCAUGCUGCUACUGAUGAUGAGGCUCUCCUCCUUUGUCCACCGGUUAUCAGACAACUGCGUAUGAGACGUCCAUCGUCGUACACUCAUUUGAUCGUGCUGAUGCGCCUGGCUGUGGGAUGGCUUCUGCUGGGAUGCUCCGAGAUUUCAUGAAUCCAUUAUGACGAAAUAGGGUGGCCGCCCACUUUAUUUCACGAAUCCAUUAUCGCCUACAGAAUAACGUCCUGGCCCUCCCAGUUUGAGUGAUUCUCUUUAUUUUGCUAUAUCUCAACUGUACAUGCAUGGUUUAUGUUCACCGGCCCGUGCCCCCAUGUCUCCUCACGUUAAUGUGGCUGCUGGCCGCGGGACUGACGAGGAGGUCAUGGUGGAGCGGUGGUGCUGGCUGUGGCCUAGCAGGAUAUCAUAAGUUCUCCCUUGUUCUUUUGUGUUUGAAUCAGAUUUAGUGGUUCUUGAUUUUACAGGCAUGCAUCGAUCUUUCUCCUGUUCUGUAUGUAGGAUACACUUAAUGUUUUAUGGAAUGUUCUGCAGAUUUUUAGAACACUAAGGGCAUAUCUUGGCUUGAAUGCUGCUGGGUCGAUGAACGUCAUGCAACAUCGCAGGAAUUUUAAAUUCCAAAUACAGGUGUGCAUGUGUCCACUUGGAAGCUACUUGUUCGUGAGUUGUUCGAGAUGAAAACCCAGUCUAUAUGAUGGACUGCUCUCCUAUUUUUUUAUGUGUGCGCUUGCUCCGUGCUCUUCUGUUCCCAGCAGGCUAUUGUGUUGAUCCGUGGGAAUUUCUUUUUACCCCUGCCAUUGCUUUGCUCUGUAAAACGCAGGUUUUGCUUACUCGUGACUGUAUGUUGGCUUCGUGCUGGUGGGCUAUAGUUCUCCUGUCACAAAUCAUGGAGACAUUCAUCCUCGCAGAUUUCUGCUCCUGCUAUGUGAAAAGGGCAAUCCACAACAUGAAUAUACAUGUAGCAAUGGUGUGCCCUUGGAACGUCCUGCAGUAAGCCCUCUCAAAGAAUCCUUAGGAAGUGUUCCUAGAGUUCGGUGGAUAUGACCGGAGUGAUAUUUUCAUAAGGAAGUCCAAGGCACAAGGGCUAUAAAUGUUAAGGAUUGCCUGACUGCGACAACUAUUGGGUUCCAUCUCACCACGCAGUGUUGCAAUAAGGCCAUUGAUCCAGUGUAGUUGUUGGGCAUGCACAUUGUGGAAUGGUUGUAGCAACUCGCUGGACUGCGGAUCAGGCCAUUCCCUUCCUCAGCAGAGCAGUCGGGCAAUUUUUGGACUACAGAAUUAGUCCCGAGAGAUGAAGUAAGAGCUGCAGUUGACCAUGUUGUCCAAACAUGGCUUGAUCCAACAAACAAAAUGACUUGAUUAAUUGGGCUUAUAAGUUGGUUGCAUCAACUGAUAGAUGCACUAAUGUAUGUAAGUGAAAUUAUCUCCUUGAGUCAUGACUAGCAUAUUUCCUUGCUUGAUGAAGGUUCCAUCUCUACAUAAUAGUUUUCUAUGCAUAUGAAACUGCUCUAUAUAGACAAAAGGUGGACGACUACAAAUCCAGUGACCGUUGCUCCGUUGUGGACAUGGGAGUCGUCUGAAUUUUGUCGUCCAUAUAGCAAGGUUCCUAUGCAUAUCCUGUCAAGUAAAUCUUUUCAUGAAAAUAUGAGGUGGGCCGUGGGCAUCAAUCUUUCGCAGGUUCAGGGUUGAAAAUGUCGACAACUUUGUAUGGUUGAAGGAUAUUCCAAGAAUUCCCACUCUUGCAAGAAAACAACUUGGCUCACUUAUGAUAAGAUGUUCUGGUGUUAAGUUUCUCCUCUUUUAUGGACCAAGAAGAUGAAUUAUUUUGACAACAUCAACUACAUUUGUACUGACAAAAAAAUAUUGUUGCUUGGACGGUCUUACAUUUAGAGGUGCACUAUUAUCUCUGUAGUUUAUUGUUACUACUUGAAAGCUCCGUAACAUCCAUGCGUAGAUGCACUUCCAGUCGAUUUAUGGUUGGCAUUAAAGUUGACCUUUAAAUUGAACUUGCAUGUCAAUACGUCAUCUUAAUUUUUGAGUAGAAAUUCUCACUGCGCCGUGUGAACUCCACUUCAAGAAUGGAACGAUCAGUAUUUAAAUCCCCGCUUGAUGAGAAACUGUCAAAUAAUUGUUAAUCUAAAAUUGUAGACAAGAUACUGAGCCAAUCAUUUUGUAGCUUUGAUAAUUUAGCUCGUUUAGAUUGAUAUUCCAGAACAUCUUCUGCAACAUCAUUGCCAAUCUUGAUAGACAAUAACGAAGUUAAGUAAGCACAUAGUACUCUUUCCAUUUACUUUGUCUAUCAUAGUAUUUUUAGAUGAAAUUCAUUUAUCAUAGUUAUUAAGGAGUACUGUUCACUUGUCGAGUGUGUGAUCACCCAAGGAAUGUUUAGUGCUUUAUCAAUUGUUCACUUGACUGCAUGAUCUAUUACUCCCACUGAUCCAUAUUAGUUGUGCUGAAAUGGAUGUAUCUAGACGUAUAUCAAUGCUAGAUACAUCUGUUUGAGCGACAAGUAAUAUGGAUUGGACAAAGUAUCAAUUUUAUACAAUGCUCUAAGACCAAUAGGCUGAAUAAGUUCCAUUUCAUCAUUUUCUGUUUAUGUAUCUGUUUAUUCAUUUUGAUGAUCUGCACAAAGAAAAGAGCAUGGCAACCUCCAUCUUGAUUGUAUGAUCUCGUUCAUUCUUAUUUUUCAGACUGUAGGUAGAUAUUUGAGCCAAUUUGGUACACUAAUAAGAAAGUUAAAACCUAAGACAUGAUAAGACUGUAUUGUUUAUGUCUUAAUGGACUUUACUUUUAUGUUUUCAUGACUUUUGUUCCUGUCCAAAUAUUACACGGUCGCAUAAUUCUUCCCUAACUUGCAGAUGCUAUCCAAGCCACAUAAUCCUUCCAUGACUUGCAGAUGCUAUCUAAGCAUUUGUGUUCUAAUAGAGAUAAAUAACUUUCUUUUCAUUAAAUCAAUAACAGCAGCACAAAGUUCAGGUCCCUGUCUCGAUGGCAGACGGAAUGAGGGGAAGGAGAGCUGAUGCUGUGGUCAUAUAUUUUGAUGUAACACAUGGCAAGUAGUGUAUGCCCAUUGAAAUAUGUCGACGAUAUGUAAACAAGUGUCAACAAAAACAUCAUUUAACCAUUCAGAUGUUUCUAUGAUUGUUA